AGGGAGUACACUCCAUCAUAGUGACCCAAAGGUGAAAGCUUCUCAAAGGCCCUGAACCAGUUCAAUAAGAAGUCAGUUUACUGUACUUGGUGCACAGCAGCUGAUAGCCUGGCUUAGCAGAAUUCUUCUCCUGUUGGCCAACAUCUCUGCCACAAAGGCAGUGAUUCAAAAAGCCAAACCACUUCACAUGGUGAGACUGCACUGGUGUCUGGGGGAUGCAGCAGGCUAUCAGAGUUUGGCUGCUGCUAUUUGACUCACUUUCCUGAUUGAUCAGACCCUGAAGCAGUUUGAUGUUGAUAAUUCUUAUUGUGUUUGAAAACGUCAUUUACUUUGAAGAAAAUUUAAAGAUGGCCAAUGAAAAUGGUUCCGUCUAUGAGGAAGGGGAAAGAACAGAGGAAGAUGGAAUAUGAGACUGCAACAA